CCCCCUGUAGCUCAGUUGGUUAGAGCAGAGGACUCAUAAUCCUUUGGUCGCUGGUUCGAGUCCAGCCGGGGGGACCA
rnacentral:tRNA from 4 species